rnacentral:rRNA from 1 species
AUUGAACGCUGGCGGCAUGCUUUACACAUGCAAGUCGAACGGUAACAGGGAGCUUGCUCCGCUGACGAGUGGCGAACGGGUGAGUAAUGCGUCGGAACGUGCCGAGUAGUGGGGGAUAACGCAUCGAAAGGUGUGCUAAUACCGCAUACGUACUGAGGUAGAAAGUGGGGGACCUUCGGGCCUCACGCUAUUCGAGCGGCCGACGUCUGAUUAGCCAGUUGGUGAGGUAAAGGCUCACCAAGGCGACGAUCAGUAGCGGGUCUGAGAGGAUGAUCCGCCAGACUGGGACUGAGACACGGCCCAGACUCCUACGGGAGGCAGCAGUGGGGAAUUUUGGACAAUGGGCGCAAGCCUGAUCCAGCCAUGCCGCGUGUCUGAAGAAGGCCUUCGGGUUGUAAAGGACUUUUGUCCGGGAGCAAAUGCCUGGUGUUAAUAGCAUCGGGAGCUGAGAGUACCGGAAGAAUAAGCACCGGCUAACUACGUGCCAGCCGCCGCCGUAAGAC